GUGAGAAUCCCGUAUGUGACCGGCGAUCAAGCCCAUGUGAAACUCCUUCGACGAGUCGAGUUGUUUGGGAAUGCAGCUCAAAAUGGGUGGUAUAUUUCAUCUAAAGCUAAAUACCGGCCAGAGACCGAUAGCGCACAAGUAGAGUGAUCGAAAGAUGAAAAGCACUUUGGAAAGAGAGUCAAACAGUACGUGAAAUUGUUGAAAGGGAAGCGCUCGCAACCAGACCUGCCCGCGGCCGAUCAACCGUCCUUCUGGGCGGUGCACUCGGCCGCGAUCAGGCCAGCAUCGGUUCGGGCGGCCGGAUAAAGGCCCUGGGAACGUAGCUCCUUUCGGGGAGUGUUAUAGCCCUCGGUGCAAUGCGGCCAGCCUGGACCGAGGACCGCGCUUCGGCUAGGAUGCUGGCGUAAUGGUUGUGAGCGGCCCGUCUUGAAACACGGACCAAGGAGUCUAACAUCUAUGCGAGUGUUUGGGUGUCAAACCCAUGCGCGUAAUGAAAGUGAACGGAGGUGGGAACCCAUUCGGG
rnacentral:rRNA from 1 species